rnacentral:misc_RNA from 1 species
UCCGGUUUGGCACCGGCAGUCUCCCCAGAAUUCCCGGCAUGACCCGCUGGCAACUGAGGACAAGGGUUGCGCUCGUUGCGCCACUUAAGGCAACACCUCACGGCACGAGCCGACGACAGCCAUGCACCACCUGUAUACCGACAAAAGGGGCUCCAUCUCUGGAGCUUUCCGGCAUAUGUCAAACCCAGGUAAGGUUCUUCGCGUUGCAUCGAAUUAAUCCGCAUGCUCCGCCGCUUGUGCGGGCCCCCGUCAAUUCCUUUGAGUUUUAGCCUUGCGGCCGUACUCCCCAGGCGGGGCGCUUAAUGCGUUAGCUGCGGCACGGAACCCGUGGAAUGGAUCCCACACCUAGCGCCCAACGUUUACGGUGUGGACUAC